UAAGCACGCUCAAAGCAGGCGAUUCAUUGGAAUGAAUCGCCUGCUUUGAGCGUGCUUAACAACAACACUAGAGUUAACUUUCUGAAAUCAGUAUGGCGAAAGGCAUCUAAGGUCAUUUCUCAAAUUA